AACAUUACGGCUAGUAGUUUAUUAGUCAAAUUUCCAUGGCCACACAUUUUGUCUUUUUCUCGUUUUCUUAUUGUGUUUUCUGUCACUGUGAAAGUGACGGAGAAAAAGGAGUUUGAAUCAGAUUUGCAAAACGGGCUGUAUCAAUAAUACUGUCAUUCCUAAUGUCUGAUUCAUCGUCAACUCUGUAAAAAGAGAACAAGAAAGGAAAAAUUGAUGGGCAAAAGUAUAUAUAGAAAUGGUUUAUUCCCGUUUUUUCCAUUUUUCAGUAGAUUUUUCCCUUUUGCGAGAAUAAAUUGACACUUGAACAAAAAGCUUCGAAGAAAAAUCUAUUCACUGAACUUAUAUAUAGAAAAAUCAAAUGUGCUAAGUAUAUUUAAAAUGGAAACAAAUAGGGGGAAAGAGAUAGGUAGAUAAACAGCCCAAGGGACAAGGACACCCUUCCUCAGGCACUGAAUAUAUUGGAGAGUGGACAGUAACAGAGAAAUGAUACAAGAUGGAAAGCCAUAAAUUGAGAUUUUCUUGAAUGGGUUCAUUUAGAUAUUUCUCUUUAGCCAUUUUUGAUAAUCAAUACAGUAUUCUUGUUCCCAUCCUUGUCAGAUUAAGGAAGGAACAUUAAUUCCAAACAGGAAAAACUGUGUGUUCACUUCGUGGGUUUGCGUGUUGUACAUUUCCUUCAUCCGUGUUGGCGGUUACUUUCCUCAAUAUACCUUCAGUGCAUACAAAUUUUUGGAACAAUUU
rnacentral:telomerase_RNA from 1 species